rnacentral:rRNA from 1 species
CACCGCCCGUCACACCAUGGGAGUUGAUUGCACCAGAAGUGAGUAGCCUAACCGCAAGGAGGGCGCUUACCACGGUGUGGUCAAUGACUGGGGUG